rnacentral:lncRNA from 1 species
AAACAAGCUCAGAAAAUGUGUGACAUACCAGGGUCCACAGAAAUAGCUGAUAUAAGAGGACCAUAAACUCCUCUAACUGGGAUACCUGUAGUCCCUUUCCCAGCCCAAUAGAAGCGAAUUUCCAAGGUAUUAUUAGUCACAACAGCAGUAAAAUAUUUUAUGAUUUCCUUGCUAACACCCCCUGCAUCAUCCUCAAUAUCGAAAUCCUUGAGAACCAGCUCAUCCUGCAACAAACCACUCCAAUUACAACUGAAAUUUUCAAGGUGCUAUAAAUUGAAAUGGUGUCCCAAGAUUUCUCUAAAACUUUGCACAAAAAAGUUGAAUUUUUAUAUAGGCUGAAGUCAAGAACUCAAAAUGGCCUGAAUCCAAAUGCUAAAGUUUCUUAGUACUUUUUAAAAUUAGAACUUUGGUUGGUGAACAUGGAAGUAAUGUGAUUCAUUACCUGAACAUAAACAUCAAACAAACGCCUUCCAAGGCUGCUAUAUGUUUUGUCAUCAGUAAAGGUGAUCUCUGCAAAGUGAAGCUUUACUGUGUAGUUUCCAUUUUCCAGACAGAAUCCAUAAUAAGUGAGAGACAGGGCGGAGAGACGUGCGGUUGUAUACAGUCCAGAAUUUUCCAUGGUGAGUCUAGACACAUUUGUCCCAAUAAAGGAGUCUGUAGGACGGUCAUCGUCCAUGAAGUGACCUGUGCUGCUGAAUGCCCAGUUUGUUCUACUCUGAUAGAACUUUGAUGGUCCACCAGAAUCUGUGUCAUCUUCAUAUGUGGUAUUUCCAUCAACGAUUACUUCUUUUCCACCACAAUUUAUGUGCAUGGAGUAAAACUCUGGAAAAAAAACCUACAAUAGAUUGGUGAAAUUGAACAAGCGAAGAAAAAGGAUAUUUAGUAAAAGGUACAAGAAAAUACAUCCAUCAACCACCCUUCCCAAACUUUUACUUUAAUCAGCAAACUUGUGACAUUGUUUUGGACUGUAUACCAAUCCAUUUUUAAUAGACCAUGUGAUCCAACGGAAAGAUUUCAACCCCAAAUGCAUUAGCAGUACCCUAAAUGCACAGGGCAAAGCACAAGAAAGGAGAAUGCCUAUCUUGAAGAGAUUUUGAGACACGGUGUACUGAAAUGUGGGUCCUCUACAAAGCUGGUCUGAUCAGUGUUUUAUCAACACUAGAAGCACAAAUUUUGAUUUGAAGCUUAAUCAGACUCAUCUCAAGUUAUGGAAAGUGAAAUUGAUGACAUUCUAAAAUCCCUUUAUAUUCUUCCAUUAAUUUCAUUCUUUUGUAUUUCUUAAUUAACAAUGUCAAGAUAGCAUAUGAUAUUUAAACUUACUUUUUGGGCAAUUAAAGCUUCUCAAGCACGAGACAAUUCCACUGAGAAAACAACGUAAUGCCCAGCAAAAGUCAGCAUCACAACAUCAUAUUUGAAUAUUACAUGACAAGGAAAGAAUCGUAGUGCUAAAGAAAAUUAUUGGCUUCAGAAAACAUUUAUCUAUUAAAAUCCUUAAAAUGGUAAUUAGAAACUCACAAGUUAUUUCCUCCUGAUGAGCUUCCAAAUAAAUUUCUGUAGAAAAUAUCACAAUCUUGAAAGUUUAUGCUAGACAGAUGAUUUUACACAGCGAAUAAUACAGAAAAGAAAUAUCUUAUGUUAGAUAAGAGUAUUCUUACACACUCCGUUCUUGACAUCCUCUUGAGCUUUCACUAGUAAAGUUAUUGUAUGAAAGAUCACUGCACCCAUUAUUCACAGUUUAAUUCAUCAUAGUUUUCCAUGCAGAAUGAACAUCAAGUUAAUAAAUCAUGAAUACACAUGAACAGAAAUUGCAUACAUAGUAUUUGAUUAUCUGAACCUUAUUUCUAAAUAACCCAAGAGAUGAAGUGUCUUGUGCCAUUAGCUAUGCAACACACAACCAAUAGCUCAGUUGUUCCUUUAGGAGUGGUCCUAAACCACUUUGAGCUAUAGUGCAAAGAACUAUUCCCCCAAGCCUAAAAUACUCUACAAUCCAUCUAUCCAUCCUCACAUAUCACCCUCCUUUUUGUCUAGAAUCCAAGUUACAUGCAAAAGGGAGCGGAAAUAUGACUUAUUGCUUUUUGUGGCAAGAGUUUUCAAUGUGCAACUGCUGUUUGUGUAAAGGAAUGAGGAAAUCGUGUGUUGCAUGAAAAAUUCUGUAUUAUGUCUUCUCGUACAAAGCAUGGACAGUUUUCAUCAGAUUCCUUAAUAGCACAGAAUAAAAGAACAAUUAUCUCUUCCAAAUUUUAGAACUAACAGAAUGUUUGCUACCCAAAUAUUUGAAAUAUUAAUCGAUAAUCAGAAUUCAUGGCGAAACAUAGAAUCAACAUUCAAAGCCAAAUUUAUUUGCUGUAAGGAUGCAAGUGUAUGCCCAUUAAAACUAAUAAAAAAAAAUAGAAGCAAGAAAGUAAUAAAAGCAAAUUGAUGGUUAACAUGUGAUGAGUAGAAACAAACAAACAUAGCCACAACAAUAUAUAAAGCAUUUGAGAAAAAAAUUUACUAGUUGUCUCCUCUUUUCAGCAUCCAAUCAGGCACGGCUCCAGUUAGCAUGUUUCCGGUAAAAUACCUACAUAACAUUGAGUUGUCCAACUUUAGUAUUGCUCAAGUAGUUUUCUUCACUAGAGUAACAUCUAAAGCAUGAUAGGAAAAACUUACUAGUAAUUCCCCCUUCAAGGACCAAAAUUAGUUUUCAAUCAAUCAGAAUGAAUUCAUCUGUCAAUUGGCUCUUUAUUCAGAAGGCUUUUAAAGCCAACAUAUGUGAUUUAGUCACUCAAUCAAUUUGAUCCUAGGCUCUAAAAUCUCCUGGUUCAUUUAGGCAAUUAACUUGGUCUUUUAGAUUAACCUUUACUUGUAGCUCAUUGGACUUCUUUCUUCAUUUAGACCAUUAAACUCAUCUUUCAGAUUCAGUAGUGAAGCCCAACCAAUGUGGUUUAGUCUUAAAAUCAAUUCAACUCCACAUCCUCGAAGCUUUCUUGGUUCAUUUAGGCCAUUAAAUUGGUUUUUCAUUUCAGUCUGUCAAUUAUUAGGUAAUUUCACCCCUUGGAAUCAGCUUGAAUAGUUGUCAAAACCUAAAGAAGAAAUGUUUAUAUGAAAAUACACUGCUUACAUGUAAUCUGCAUUUGAUAGACCGACAAAGCUGCUUGGAAUUUCUCCAGUUAGUUUGUUAAAACUCAGAUCUCUGCAAGAGAAUUCAUAAACAGAAUGAAUUAAAAAUUGCUCUACCCCAAAAGAGUCAAACACCUGAGAAUGGAAAAAACAAAACCAAGAAACCGAAAUGACAUGCUGAAAUGAACAAAUAUGAAGUUUAUGGAAUUGUGUAUGCAUUUCUAAUCUGAAAAAGACCGUGUCCCCCUCCUUUCCAUAUCACUGAAUCCUCUUCAGGAGAAAUCCUCAAAUCCCUCAGCAUAUGAAACAACUCUCCUAAAGCGUCCAGCUCCCAAUCAUUAGAGUUUCUAGAGAGUCUUAUGUUCCAACCUCCUUGGCCAAGGCUAGAAUCCCACAUCUCAUUUACCGAGGCGUUCCUUUGGGCCGCCAAGGCAAACAAUUGGGGGAAAGUUUGGGACAGCGCCUCAUUGCCGCACCACUGAUCAGUCCAGAAAUUAACCUUGGUCCCCUCUCCCACUUUGAACUCUAUAUUAUCCCAACACCAAUACGACUCCUUCAAGAUGUCCUUCCAAACCCCCACCCCAAACAUUCCGUGAGCCUCAUUAGUUCUCCAACCAAAACCCUCAUAGCCAUACUUCACCCCUAUCACCUUCUUCCAAAGGAUUUCUUUUUCAAAGGCAAAUCUCCAAAUCCAUUUGCCCAACAAGGCCUUAUUCAGAAGAUCAAUCUUCUGAAUGCCUAGACACCCUCUCUCUUUUUGGGUGCACACCACCUCCCAAUUGAUUAAAUGAAUUUUUCUUUCUAGGCUUCCCCCUCCCCAAAGAAAAUCCCUUUGUAAUUUUUCGAGCCUUUUUGCAACUAACUUGGGCAUACGAAAGAAAGACAAUUGGUAAAUAGGUAUACUGGCCAAAGUGCUCUUAAUGAGGGUAAUUCUCCCGCCCUUUGACAAAUAUUGUCUUUUUCAAAGGGCAAGACUUUUUCUCAUUCUUACUUCCACCCCGUCCCAUAUAGCCGUGGUCUUGUGAUUGGCUCCCAAGUGCAGCCCCAAAUAAACAGAAGGAAGGGCCCCCACUCUACACCCUAUCUCCAUAGCCAAUUCGUCAAUGUCUUCAACCUCCCCAACCAGAAUUACUUCACUCUUAGCUAGGUUUAUUUUAAGACCAGAGGCUGCCUCAAACCACGCCAAAAUCCAGCUUAGAUAGGUAAGGUAAUCUUGCCUUGCUUCACAAAAGAUAAUAGUGUCAUCAGCAAAUAGUAAAUGGGAUACAUUCAUUUCCAUUCCCCCCCUCCCUCGAAGACUACAACCGGAAAUGAAUCCCCCAUCAACAGCCUUUUUUAAAAGCGCACUUAGCACUUCCAUACCCAACACAAAAAAGGUAGGGAGAGAGUGGAUCUCCUUGGCGUAACCCACUGGAAUUGGAAAAAUAACCUGCUGGCACCCCAUUAACCGGAAUAGAAAAAUUUGCAGUAGAAAUACACCACCAUAUCCACUCCAUCCAACGAGCCCCAAACUCCAUCUUGUGCAUGACCUUCAUGAGGAAUUUCCAAUUAAUGCUAUCAUAGGCUUUUUCAAUAUCCAAUUUACAAAUCAGCCCUUUCUCUUUACGUUUAUGCCAAAAUUCAAUCACCUCAUUGGCUAUGAGCGAGGCAUCCAAAAUCUGUCUUCCCUUCACAAAAGCAUUUUGGUCUGCAGAAACCACCUUAUCUAAAACCUUCUUAAGCCUAUUGGCUAACACUUUGGCCAAGAGCUUAUACAAUCCCCCUAGCAGACUAAUGGGCCUGAAAUCCCCAAGGUCAUCAGCCCCCCCUUUCUUGGGGAUGAAGACUAGGAAAGUAGAAUUGAGACUCUUAGCAAAGGACUUCCCAUCAAAAAACUCCUUGAACAUAUCCACAAUCUCCUCCUUCACGAAGUCCCAGCAAGAUUGCCAAAAGGCCACUGUAAAUCCAUCCGAGCCUAGAGCCUUAUCUCCAUUCAUUCCCAUCAGAGCCGCAUGAAUCUCUUCCUCAGUGAAUGGUUGUUCCAAGCCUUCAGCUUCAAUAUGGUUUAACCUUUGAAGAUUCAGCCCCUCAAUAUCAGCUUUCCAAGCUGGCUCCUCUGACAACAGUUGCUGAAAAGCAUUCACAACCCCCUCUCUCACCUCUUGCUCCUCCUCCAGCCACCUCCCAUUGAUCUUAAUCUUUUCCAUGGAAUUGUUUCUUCUAUAGGCAUUAGCCAUCCGGUGAAAGAACUCAGUGUUUUUAUCCCCUUCCUUGAGCCACAGCUCCCUAGACAGUUGUCUCUGAUGCGUUUCUUCCAAAAGCACCCAUUUUUUAAAGACUUCCUUAGCUUCUUUUUUCAACUCCGUCUCUCCUUCAGUCAGGCUCCUUUCACUCUCCACCCCAUCCCAAAAUUCUACUUGUUGAAAUGCUAAGUUUUUAUUGACUUCCAACCUUUCAAACACGUCCCUGUUCCAUCCUUUGAUUUUAUCCUUCAAGACCUUCAUCUUUGUAGCCAAUCUAAAGCUGGCCCUCCCUUUCCCCCCCGCCUCCUACCACCAACCCCGAAGAAGCUCCUUAAACCCAUCAACUUUGAGCCACAUAUUUUCGAACCUAAAUGGGGAAGGGCCCCUUCUGAUCCUUCCACCUUUCAGCAAGAUGGGAAAAUGAUCAGAGGUGGGUCUAGGAAGCCUACUCUGGACAACCCCACUAAAACAGUCAAGCCAUUCUUGGGUCACUAGAAAAUGGUCCAGUCUAGCCCAAGAUUGAUUGUUCCUGCCCCCACUCCAAGAAGCCAUCCCCCCUUGCAUAGGAAGAUCCAGGAGCUCUAAUUCGUCAACCACCUGAGCAAAUCUUCUCAUGGCGCCAGUCAGCCUACCCUCAUUACUCCUUUCCCAUUGGGAUAGGGUAACAUUGAAAUCGCCCCCUAAGCACCAAGGGUCAUCCCAGAUGCCCCUUAUAGCCCUUAACUCCCCCCAAAGAGUCUCCCUAUUUUUUUUGGAAAACGGCCCAUACACUCUUGUGAAGAUCCAGGCCUUCCCAUCUUCUACAUUCCUAAGUCUGCAAGAGAUUGAGAAUUGCCCCAUCUCCAUCUCAAGGACCUCUAGGGUUCUUUUAUCCCAGCAUAUCAGAAUCCCUCCCGCAGCUCCCUGAGCACCCAUGGCACCCCAAUCAAGGAACCUCCCAGAACCCAAACUCCUCACUAAACCCUCUGUCAUUGACUGAAUUUUCGUUUCCUGGACACAAAACAAAUCAACCUUCUGGCUUCUGAUCAUGGCCUUAAUCACUUUCCUUUUAGAGCUAUCAUUGGCUUUACGCACAUUCCAACUCAAAAGCCUUAUCUUCAUUGGACUUCCAUAGUCUGGCACCCUCUUCCUUGCACAGUACACUUUUUCUUCUUCCCCCCCUCAUAAUUGACUGAACAUUCAAGCCUUUUCGACUCUCUUUCAAAUCUCGAUUUCUCCAGCAGGACUUUACUGUGAACUCUUUCCCUCCUCUUCCUAAUUUUGACCAGGAACUCCAAGAUAUCUUUCUCUAGUCCCUCUGUCGAGAAUCCCAGAAACUGACUGAACCUAGCCAAAUCACUUUCCUCCCAGCUCGCUUCCACCCAUCCUCUUUCUUCUUGAGGCAUAGACCGGGCAAGACACAAAGCCUCUCUGCUUUCUUCCAUAUUGUCACUAUUGACCUCUAUCAUUUCCCAACACUUCCCUUCUACUUGCUCUGUAGACCCAGAACCGUUGCGCGGUCUAUGAGUAGCCCCCUGGGUUUUGUCCAAUAGAGCCCCAGUAAGGUCGAAAAACUCCCCCAAAGGAGUCCGACCAAAAAUAGAAGAGAGGGAAGAAGGAAGAUCAAAAACCACCAUUCCAGAGGAGGAAAGGGCGUUAUCAUACCUUGCAACUUCCUCCAGCAGGGCACAGUCAGUCCUAGAGGUCCCCUCCGACAAAGUCUCCUCCUCAGAAAGCCUCCAUAGACCAUCCUUCACCCAGAAAGGGGAAAUAGCAGCGUCUGGGCCCCUCAUUGGGCUUCGGCCACUCUCCACAACGGACGGCCCUCCUCUGCCUGGGCCCUAACCAUAACUAAAGAAGAUGGCCCUCGGUUGUCCAGCCCAGCCCUCUGAAAAAGCCUUGAAGUCUUGGCCCGCUCAGUGGACUUCCAAUGCGACAGCCCAGGAUCGACCGACCCAUUAACAUUUGGGAGGUCCGAUAGAGGAGCGAGCCCAGUGGGCUCAGAAGCCUUAGACCGCCGAGAGGGCUCUGCUAGGCCCAACAAUGCAAGCCCACCCAAAACUUGUGGCCCACCCGGAAGCCCGUUGACGCUCUGAAUAGGGUCCGUGACUUGCCCCGACCCGCUUGACUGACCCCACGUCCCAUCGGCAGUCAGCAGUAAGGCCUCGAGCCUCGAGCCUUCCUUCACCUCCAUCACGCACUCGCUCGCGUGUGUACAUGCUUCACCCCCAACCUCCUCUCCCGUUGCGACGACCUUCCCUCUCUUACCUGCCGUCGUCACUUUCAUAACUGGCCUGACUUCCCACCACAGAGUUACCGAGUAGCAUAACUCUUCAACCCAGACCUCCACUACAUUGGGAAGUUCCUCACCGUUCCGCUUCACCAAAAGCCGAGCCCACUGGAACUCCUCCAUUUUCUCCGUUUGGGAGUUAACCACGAGAAAUCCCUCACACGCCUCCCCUAUCCUCCUCAAGAUGUCCCGCUCCCAUAGGGAAACGGGUAAGCCUACAACCCGCACCCAGGCUUCACUGUUAUUCUCCCCUUCCCUCAGGCAUCCUGUCUCCGGCCUCCAUUUCUCCAAUCGAAGAAAUAUCCCCCCGACCGAGAUACUUCCAAGUUUAGAGGCUUGCUCUGCUUCUGUCAGAAGUUCAAACUCCAUCAAUACCUUGCCCCUCUCCAUUUUUGCUAACCCUAGGUUUCCCUUCAGACUCCAGAUUCUCGCUAACUGGAUUCCCUACCCUCUGAGAUCGUCCCCCUUUGCUGCACUAGGGUUCCAUGUCCCAACCACAUAGUGAUCUAGUUUGUUUAAGUUCCGACCCAAUUCCUUCUUUGUGGCCUCUACCCUUACUGCUACUCUCUCUUUACCCCUCGACAUGUUGGUCACUUUCGCGAAUGUCUUCGCCAUGUUUGGCUUCAAGCGUGGCUCUUAUUCCUUCUGGCUUUUCAUUCCUUUGUCUGCACAGCCCAAACACUGUAAUGUCUCCACCAUUGAGGCCCAACCACUCUUUGCUCCUCUUCCUUUGGGAAUGAAGAUGCUAAAUCUCUUUCUCUCCAAAUCCACAACACCCAGACGGAGAAAGCAUCCCCCUCUGUUAUAGUCGCGCACGAGAGAAUAAUCCCUCCCAUUUUCCUGCCACUUUCUUACCCAUUUAACCAUCCUCACAUCCUCAAUGCUUAGAACCAGGCACUCGAGGACUACCCCAAGGCUUGCCGGUCCCAGCCUAAUCCACGAUGAGAUCCCUCCUUUCCUUUCCACAAUUGUGGCUUGCAAUCUGCCUCUCUUCUCCUCCACCUCAACCUCGAACGUUUUCGAUUCCACUCCGAAGCCACCCUUCCUAACACUCUUCCCAGGCCUCGCAUGGACCUCGCCCUCCACAAUCUCGGUCGCUCUCAGGGAGUCUCGCACUCCGCCGACGCUCUCACUCUCUCUCGCGCUCUUUCUUUCUCUAACCCUCUCUCUCUCUCUCCUCCAUAUUGCCAUGCAACUCAACCGCGUUCUUUAACAAAAGAUCAUCUUCAGGUUUCCAUGGCGUGAUAGGAGCAAGAGCACCCAUAUUUUCUGAACCACUGUUUCUCUCUCUCCCUCUAGAACGGUGUCUCUCUCAGAGAACGAGACAUGGAAGUAACCUGAAAAAAGCGUGGGCUUCUACACUUUACAGAAAACCUAAUGAAUUGGGAGGACAAGCUGUAAACUUUUACGUCUCCAGGGUCUUAUUUUCUAUCUAUUCAUACAAACAAUGCAAGCUGUAAGCAGCUUAUUCAAAAUCCAAAUUAGUCAAAACACAGAGAUGCAGUGACCACUCAAGGAACAUCACAAGCUAUGCAAGAAGUCAUAACAUGAAACAAUCUCCGAAUUUGUAGAAAAACACGUUUCAAAGAAUCUUAACAAUUAGUCUGCAACAGGUAAAGGGGAAAAGAUACUAAAUAUAUACUGACAGGGUUUUCAAUUUUGUCAUUUCCCCAAGGUAAUCAGGUAGCGGGCCAACAAUAUUGCAACUCCUCAAUAUUCUGCAAUCAAAUCAAAUAUAUAUCACCAAAAAUCUCAAAAAUAUGUUCUAUGUACUGUGUAUUAUCAAGGGCAAUCUACUCACAGAGUUUUCAAGUUUCUCAUAUCACUCAAUGGUGGAAAAGUUGCUUCAGUUCCAUUCAGGUCACUGAUUCUCCUGCACAUAGAAAUUCAAUAAAAAAUAAAAAUAUAAUAAUUUCAAUCCAUAUAAAUUAUCAAAGCUAUGGCAUAGGAGAGCUUUACUCACAAGUCAGUUAUUUUUGUCAAAAGGGCAAUGCCAGAAGGAAUCGGCCCACUGAAACCACUCCCUUGAAUCACUCUGUCGGUAGCAAAUUUCAAUUAGAAUAUGUGAUUAUAAAUGAAAUCAUGCCACUCAUACCAACUCAAACAUCAGAUUCAACAAAGCUCUCACAAUUUUUCAAGUUUUGUCCAGUUCUGUAUAAAAUUGGGUAUCUUUCCUGUGAACUGAUUAUCUCCAACCCGACUGCAUUGAAUUAAAACAAAGAUACAAUAGCCCCAAUCUCAGAAUUCAACAAAAAAAAUAUGCUAAUUUAUGCAUACAAAAACCCGAAAAAAGAAAAGACACUUCAAAAUCUUACAAGUCCUUCAAUGUGGUAAGCCCUGCAAAUGUUUGUGGUAACUCCCCAGUGAAGUUGUUUGAGGUAAGAAGUCUUCAACAACGAAAAACACAACCAAACCAAUAAACCCACCAGCGUUAAUAAUAAAAAAAAAACUGGUAACACCCAUAAUUGGCAAAAUCUACAAACAAAAGGGUCUUACAUUCUCUCUAUACUGGGCAGAUUCCCAAGCUCCUGAGGAAGAACCCCUGAAAGCUGAUUGAACUCUACGGUUCUACGCAUAUCAAAUCCAAAAUUUUCGCAUCAAAAACAAUAAUUCUUAGAAGAUCACACACUGAAAAGGGAAACAAAUGGGUAAUUAGAAGUUCACAGGUUUGCAAGAGUAGAGAUGUUUCCAAGCUCUUUGGGAAUCGAACCCGUUAACCGGUUUCCGAUCAGAGAACUGCAACAACACCCACAUACCAAAUUCAAAAAAUAAAAAUAAAAAAUGAAAUGCUUAAAGGUUCAUAUUGAAUAAGCCAUCAAAAUUUCAACCAUAUAUACAUAGAUGGAGAGAAAACACACAUGUUUACUAGUUGCAUUGUACCCCAUUCUGGAGGGAUUGAACCGUCGAGGUAGUUGCGUGUGAAGUCACUGUAACGGAGAUGAAUUACAGUUAAGUUAGUUGAAGUCCUAAAUGGGUAAUUGAAGAAAUGGGUGAUGCCAAAAUUGGCAGAAAAAUUAAGUUAGAGAAAUACUCACAUUUCUUGGAGGUAAGGAAGCUUAACCAGCUCUGGUGGGAGAGAUCCCGGGAGAUUCUGAGUCUUGAGGACUCUACAAUUGAUAAAUACUCACGUUAACGGUUAUUAAUUAACUUAUGAUUGAUUUGUAUUUUUUUUUUAAUUAUUUUUCAAAUAUUCUUUAAAGAAAAAAAAAAAAAGACUAGGCUGUUCCUUAAAAAUUUUAAGGAAAAAUGCAAGAAAAAAUAAUUUAAAAGAAAAUAAAAAAUAAAUAAAUUAUUUUUAUAUACUACUUCAAAUUUAUUAAGAUAUUUUAUCUUUUUUUAUAUAGAAGUUAAAUAAUUUUAAAAUAUAUAAAUUUUUAAUUAAUUUUAAUUAUAUUUAAUUUUCUUUUAUACUUUUCAUAAAAAAAACCUAAAUAUAAAAAAAUAAUUUUUUUUUCAUUUAUUUUCUUUUCUUAGCAUUUUUCUCAUACCAAAUACAUUAAUAUUAACACAUCUUUAUAUUUUUAAAAAUUAAAAACUCUUUUCAAAAAUAAUUUUCAAAUAUAUUGUAAAAUUUUAACUUAGUAGAAAGCUUAACUUGAUUCAAACACAAUUCAAGAAACUAGAUUCAUAGGGUGUUAUGUAUACAUUUUUAAGUUUUAUUAUUUAUAUUAUAAUUUUAUUUGUUUAUAUUUAAAUUUCAUUAUAUCUCACGAUACAUAUUCAAUGGUCUUGAUUUAGACCAGGAUAGGUAUAGCUUUGCAUUUCCCGUCCGUAUAUAUCCCCAAGGGCCCAACCUCACUCGGCUGCCGACAAAAAAGAGGUGGGCCCAUUGGACCUCAGUUCCUAAUUGGGCCCACAAGAUAAGAUUCUCCUUUCGAACUUUGUCCUAACAUCCCAGAAUGACAACAGUCUGAACUUAUUGGACCUGAAGGCCCAUUUAGAAGUCAAAGUCAACACAACAAAUUAUGGCCACCAACCUAACUUAUUAUUAUAAAUAAAUAAAAUUAUAAUAUAUAAAUAUAUUAUAUAUAUUUAAAUUAUAUGAUAGAAAUAUUAAAAAAACCUUUGGAAAAAUAAAAUAAAAGGGUACUUAAUAUUAUAAAUCCUUAUGAUAUUCAAAUGUCAAUAUUAAAACGAAAUUUAUUUAUUUACUAAAUAUGGCCAUUUAUAUUAAAACCUUCUUUCUAUAUAAGUUAGGUAAAUUAGGGUGGAGAGUGGAAGCCAACUAUUCCAUAUAAAGUCCUUCAAUAAAAUAUUUCACAUUAAUUUAUUUUCAUCUAUAACAUAUUCUAAAAUAAUUGGAAUGUGUUUUGGUAUUAAAAAAAAAUGAAAAUAGCAUGAACCAAAAAAUACAUAAAUUAUAUUACAUUAAAGUUACCCGUGUUUCCUAAAAAAUACUAAGAAAAAAAAUGAUAAUAAAAAUAUUUUUUUAUAUUUGAUUUAAUCAUAAAAAAUAUAUAUAUAAAUCAAAUAUAAUUAAAAUUUAUCAAAAUUUUAUAUAUUUUAAAAUUAUUUAGUCUAUCUAUAAUAAAGGAAAAUAAUUAAAAUGAGUUUGAAGAAAUAUAUAAAAAUAAUUUAUUAAAAUUUAAAUUUAUUUUUAGUUUUUCUUNNNNNNNNNNNNNNNNNNNNNNNNNNNNNNNNNNNNNNNNNNNNNNNNNNNNNNNNNNNNNNNNNNNNNNNNNNNNNNNNNNNNNNNNNNNNNNNNNNNNUUUUUUCUUUCUAAUUUUUUUUCUUAAAUGUCUGAGAAUCAAACAUAGGCUAAAACUUUUGUUUUUUUAUUUGAAUUUUUAAUAAACUUUGAAAUAUUUUACUUUCAUUUUUUGAGUUAUAUGAUUCAAAAUUUAUACAAAUUUAGGGGUAUUUAGAUUUUAAAUUGGAAAUAAAUAUUGUUCUAUAACAUGUAAAGUAUUCUCGAAAUAAAAACUUUAUUUAUAAUCCGAUGAUUAUUGUUUGUUUUCUUAAUUGAAUUGUAAUUAAACUCAACUCAAUCUUUUUAGAAACUAAAAAAAUUGAGCAAAUAAAUAGAAGUUUAAUUAACUUACAUGCUAACAACAUGGCAAACAGUGUUGUUGGUGCAGCUACAAGUGACAGCAUUUUCCGACCCCUUCACCGGAUUCUUCGUCGCCCAACCCCACUCACCGCCGCACGGAUCCGCACUGAAGUUCCAGUCCGUCUUCCCCAGAGUUUCCGCGAUCUCUUCCAGAGCUUCCACUGUAAAGUGUAAUAAUAAUAAGAUUGAUUUUUGAGAGUAUAUAUAUAGAACUAUGAAAAAUGAGGUAGAAUGAAUGGUAGUGUCACCUUCAUUAUUUGGGAGGAGAGUUGCAGAGAAGGUGAGAGUUGUGAAGAAAGUGAAGGCAAUGAGUAAAGAAGAGAGAAGGCUGUUAAUGGAGGGCAUGGUUUUAGGGUUGUUGCAGAGGAGGAGGGCUUGGGGCUUGGAGGAGCACUAGAUGAUGGAUGAGGAUUAAUGAUUUGUGGUAAGAGGGUCUUUGUCGUGUACAGGAGGAGAGAGAAAGAGAGAAGACUCAGAGCGAAGACUUCGAUACAUGGUUAUAUCGUACCGUACCAUGGUUGAUGAUUUUACAUUUGAUUAAUCAAAAAGCAUUUUUUUCCGCAAAUUUUAAAGAUAAAGUUUUUUUAAAAAAUAAAUAUUUAAAACUUUUUUCAAAUCUACGAGUCUGUCUAAACUUCCAUAUUUACACUAAAACAAAAACAUAAAUAUAUAUAUAUACACACUAGAUAUUUAGUACAUUCUUUUUAUUUUAAAAUUUAAUAAUUAAUUAUAGUAAUAAAAACCGAUAAAAAGAUAAAAUUUAAUAAUUGUUGGAGACAUCUUGGUAUCAUUGUGGACCCCGUAAUUUUACUCAAUGCGUUUCCACUCGAUAACGAAACUCGUUUUUUUAUUUGUUUGAUGAAAAUUUGAUUUUUUUUAUAAAAAAAAAACUUGGAGUCGUUACUUAUUUUUUAAGGGAAAAACAAAAUAAAAAAGAAAAACUCUAAGUGUGACUCUUGAAAGAAAAACAAGUGUAUAAAAAUCGAGUCUGGGUCCGGAGGUCAAGUUACUUAUCGAGAAGAUACGGUGGUGAACCGUAGCACUCCUCUAAACCCCUUAAAAAACGGGUCUCUAUUAAAUAAGACGAGGCAAGUGUGGCAAUUGACGAGGAAAUCAAUGGUUACCAAUAAAAUGAUCGGAUAACAAAAUGAAUCAUGUAUGAGAAUAAGCAAAGUGGGAGUGAGAGCGUAUCUGGGCAGUAAGUAAUAUUGCGCUAUUAUGGAAACGAGGUUAGCUCAAGUAUAAAAUUAACACAUGUAUAUCAAAGAGUAAGGCAAUGAUCGAACAAUAUUCAUUAAGCAUAACAAUUAACAAUCGGAAAAUAAAACUUAUAUGUAAGGCCUCCACCAAAGCUCAAUUUAUCUCGCAUGAAUUGGUCUCACAAAUUUUAUUAUUUCGGAAUUAUGAAAAAUUCAUUCUUACUUAUGUAAAAUCAAGAGAAACAUAAGAUUAUUUGAUAACCAGAAUGGAAUUAAAACUGUUAGAGCGAAAACUGGAUUUUUGAAAUUUAUUUGAAAAUUGGAGUUUCGAAAAUCUUUUGAAAAUUGGAGUCUUGGAAAUUAAAUUUAAGAAUUGAAAUUUUGGAAAUUGGAAAUUAAGUUUGAAAAAUUGGAAUUUCAGGAAUUGCGAACUAAAUUUGAAAUCGGAAUUUUUAAGAAUUUAUUUAAAGAUGGAAUUUUUUUUAAUAAAUAAAUAAAUAAGAAAAAUAAAAAUAAUAACGAAAUUAUUAACGAUUAAAUAAAUAAAUUUGAAAAUUAGAAUUUUGAAAAUUGGAAAUUAAAUUAGGAAAUUGGAAUUUUGAAGAAUUAUUUAAAAAUAGAAUUUUUAAAUAUUAAGUUUGAGAAUAAGAAUUUCGAAGAAUUAUUUAAAAAUGGAAGUUUGAAAAUUAAAUUUAAGAAAAUGAAAUUUUGAAGAAUUAUUUGAGAAUGGAAUUUAAAAUUAAAUAAAUAAAUAAUAAUAUUAAUAAAUAAAAAUAAAAAUAAAAAUAAUAAAUAAUAAAUAAAAAUCUUGGAAAAUUGGGAUUUUGAGAAAUUAUUUAAAAAAAAAAAAGUGAAUUUGAGAAUAGAAUUUUGAAAGAUUAAAUUUUGAAAAUCGGAAUCUUGGACAAUCAUUUUGAGGAUGGCAUUUUGAAAAACUAAAUUUCGGAAAUUGAAAUGUUAGAAAAUUAUUUUAAUAUCAAAAUAUGAAGAAAUAGUAAAAAAAAAAAAAAUGGCUUGUGGUGAUCCUCAUUUGCAAGACUUAAUUCUCCACGUGUUCAAAGUGGCAACCAACCUAUUCGCUAUGCUGCCAACAUACCAAAGAAUGCCACAAGAUUACUUCCCAUAUUACAAUAAUGUCAUUCAAACCCACUUUCCAUGCAAGUCUCUUUCAUACUCACCAUGCACUUCCCGAGAGCACCACAAACCCAUUUUUUUUUUUAUGAAAAACAAACACCACAAUGCUGCCACCUUCUUACCUAUUCGCUAUGCUGCCAACAUACCAAAGAAUGUCACAAGAUUACUUCCCAUAUUACAAUAAUGUCAUUCAAACCCACUUUCCAUGCAAGUCUCUUUCAUACUCACCAUGCACUUCCCGAGAGCACCACAAACCCAUUUUUUUUCAUGAAAAACAAACACCACAAUGCUGCCACCUUCUUACCUAUCCGCCAUUCUCACUACCAUGCGCAUGGAGUUUCCAUUGGUGGAAUGGGGGUAUAUGGUAGUGAGAGAAAUGGGUUCGGGUUGAUGAGGUGAUGAAAUGAAGUCAUGCACGUAGAGAUUAACGUCGGGUGGAGUCAUGGGUAGUGAGAGAAAUGGGUUUAAGGGUUUGGUGGGUGUGAAGUUAUAGGUUUGAUGGAGGAUAGGAGGUUAGUGAAAAUGAGUUCAAUAGAUAUGAAAGAUGGGUUAGAGAGCAUUAAAGAAAUGGUGAUGUGCAUGGAAGGUUAGGGAGGAUGAGGUGGUUAGCUUGGGUGUGAGGGGUGGUGAGCAUGAAGGAUGGAAAACUGGUGGGUAUGAAUGAUGGGUAUGAUUAGUGAGUUUAGAAAAUGGGUACAGUAUUAGUGGGACGGGUAGUGGAAAAACAGAUUGGUGGGUAUUGGAAAAUGAGGUCUCUAUAGUAGCCAUGCAUGCGUCAAAAAAAUAGGAAGGAGUGCAUGGAGGAUAAAUGGAAGGAUGAGUGAUGGAAGUAGCAAAAUGCAUGGGUAUGUUCGGUGUGAGGUUAAGAAUGGGAUGUAUGAUACAUGGUGAUGGGUAUGAUGGUAUAUAAAAAAAAAAACAGAGAGUGAUGAGGUUUCCAUGCAUGGCAUUAGGGGAAUGGACAUGUGGGUGAUGAAUGGUGUGUUAUUUGUCUUUGAUAUCCAUUAUCACCAAAACAUAUGCAGGAUAUAUUUAUCAAUUCAUUUAGAACAUGUUUUUAUUCACAUGGAACAUACCCGAAUCCAUUUCUGAAUUUUGGUUGAAGAUGUAUGGAUCUUCUAAGGUCGAGGAGGGUAACCACCGUCACUGGAUUCUCUCUAGCAAUGGGAAGCGAGAGAGAUUAGGGUUCUGUUCUAUUAAAAAAUGUGAUGAUAUAAAAUGAAUAGACCUUUGACCUUUUAUACCCUCCUACCUUAAGGACCAUACCCAUUGGGCUAUUGGGCCUCACGAGUCUUAGGCCCAUCAUCUAAGGCUCGUGAUGGCGUUUUGGCUCUACACAUAGGUGGCCCAUACUCUUGAACGAAUCAGAAAACAAAUAGUAAGAUGUGAAUAGCUUAGUCAUGAAUUAUUGUUAGAUAUGUGAGUCCAUAUCUUAACAUGGUGGUGAGAGAAAAAUGGGUUUAAUGGGUAUUCAAGAAAAUUAAUGAUAUGGGUAUAAUGGCAAUGGGUGGUUAAUGGAGAGAAGGGCAUGGUUAUGAGCGCGUUUGUGUUGGAGUGACGUGCGUGUAAUGGUGAAACAACAUGCAUGAAGGGUGGAAGAAUGGGUAUGGCGACUGUGGAAUGGAUAAUGAAGGGUGAUGAGAAAUGUGGGUUUCACUGGCAAAUAUCAACUGUACAACCCAAAACCAUCUGAUACCUUUCUUCUAAAUUGUCAUCUUCAUUAUUAAACUCUAGAGACUUCUGUUCAGCCAUCCGUUUGAGAAAUAUAACCUUCCCAAGCAUUGUGAUAUUCAAGCUGAGAUUUUUGGAAUGAAAAUGGGUGAGGAUUUGAGCCAGCUGCUCUACCAUGGGUCCUCCAGGAGACACUCUGAUCCAAACGACCAAGCCAAACAAAGGAACCUAAUACUCCAAAAUAAAGGAUAACAUGAAGAAAAAAAAGAGCAAAGACAAGAGAAAACAGUAUUGUUGAACCCAAGCUCCAUUUUAAUGAAUAUCAAUGAGUUUUCGAAAGAAAAUGGUGGGAGGACCGAAUAGUCUUAACAUGCAAACAAAUAACAUAACCAUCGUGCAAUUCAUACAAGAGAAAACAGAGACCUAACAAAAAAAAAAACGAGAAGCAGGUUUAACACAUUAAAUGAUCAAAGCAAGCAACCAAACAUCGGCAAGAAGCUCAGUGUGACCAUCAAAAUAAAAUAAGAUAAAAGAAAAGUGAAGAACAUAAGGUGAGGAAUGAUCAAACUUGAGCGAUUCCUUCCCUGCUCCUCUCUCACGGUCCUUGAAAAGCUCACUCUCGUUUUCCCUCAGGUUCUCUUCUCUCAAACCAAAUGGCCCCCAAAAAUCCCCCAUAAUGUCUUCUCCACCUCUCGAAAAACUUACCUUCCCCAUUCAAAGAAAAACCCCCCUUCUCAAAAAUAUCUCCUCCUUCUUUUCUAGUUUUUUUGCCCUUCCCCUGUUUCUGCCUUCUCCCGCAAGCCACUACCCGCUCCACUAUGCACCAUUCAGCCAAUAUGUCACCCUCUCCAACCACCAUCAUGGGCGAGCUGCUGAUGUUCACCACACGUCCAUGCAUGGAGCUUCAUGGGAGGUGUCCCCCACUCCCAAUGAAAUGCUCUCCAACUCCUUAAUAAAAGCAAAUAAAAACUAAAAACAUUUGGUUCGUAAAAAUGAGGUCUACAAUCAUUUCAUAUUCUUCAAUUAUUUUACCUUAUGAAGUUAAACCCACUAACAUGAACAGCUCAAUUCAUUUAUAUAUUUCUUGGAUUCACCACUGAAAAUUCCCCAAAAAAUAAAAAAUAAAAAUUCACAAGACAAUGGAUUUACAGGCCAUGGAUUGCUGGUGACAGCUCAAGUUUGCUUCAUAGUCAACUCAAUACAAUUUUAUUUUAUUUUUCAAUAUAAUAUGGCCAUGUGAUGAAUAUCCUAUGCAGCAAGAAGUUGGUUCUCAUUUCUAAGACUUUCUCACCAGCCAAACAUUGUGUAAUGUCAAAGGUAUGAAUAAAAAAAAAUUUCUUCUUUCUGAGUUUUUUUAAAUCCAAGUUGAGGAAGUUGACUUGGGGAGUAACACCAAGUUGCACUGCUGUAGCAGUUAAGAAGAUACACAAUUUUGAAUUUAUCGUCUCCUUCAAGUCUUUGUCACCACCAAACCUAGGGAUUUUCAGAUAAAGUUGUCUGUACUUAUUGAUUAAGUUUAGUCAUGGUCAUCAAGUACAAGUUCCUUGCGCUUUCAUAUAGGUUUGUACUUUCUUUUUUUCUAAUAAUUAAAAUUAAUUUUUGGAUCAUGGGAAAUCUAAUGGAGGAAAAUGACCAAAAGGCCAAAAAUAAUUUUUUUUAUUUAAUUUAUUGUUAAAAAUAUGAAAAAAAAAAUCAAAUAAAAUAAUAAAUAGUUAUAUUUUCAAGUACUUUAUUCAAAAAGUCUAUGAAAACUUUAAUUUUAUCAUAGGAAAAUGUUAUUUAUUUUAAUUUUUAAGGUGGUAUUUAAAUAUUAUGAUUUUUUUUUUUAAUAAUAUUUAAAACAAGUCCUCUAAAAUAUAGAUUUUUUUCUUUCGUAAAGUUGAAAUGGAGGUAUAAUAUCAUCUUUCCACAAAAAAGGAUUCAAAGAAGGUGUUUGAAUUUUUAUAUUUUAGCUUAAUAAAAUGAAGCAACCACCCUUUGUUGAUGAAGCUAAAUCUUUCUAUUCUAACUAUAUAAUAAAAUAAUUUUUUUUUUUUAAGAGAAAAAGUAAUUGAGGGUGAAAAAUGUGUUUAAAAAAUAUUUUUCUAUUUUAUUUAAUCAAUAAUAUUACAUUAAAUAUUAAUAUAAAGUAAUAUAUUUAACUAUAUGUUAUAUAAUUAUAAGCGGUUGUGGCUCACUAUGAAUCACUUAAUAUGAUUUAAUAGUUUAAUUUAAAUUAUUAAAUAUAUUAAGUAUAUUAAAAAAAUAGUUUGAUAUCUCCUUCUAACUUGUUUCCAUGCUUAGAAGUAUAUCCAUUAAUCCAUAAGUCUCUUUGACGAACAAUCUUCAAUGCUUUUAUACAUUUAUAAUACCUAAAGUGUUGUCUAAAUAUAAUUUGACCGAAAAUUAUGACUUUGACUUUACCUUAGACUAAAAAACUAUCUCAAAUAUAUUAAGGAAAGAGCAUCAAAGCCACAAAAUCUGUAGAGAAACUAAAGAUGCCAAAAACCGAUAAAUGAACACAAAUGCUUCAUAGAUUGAUGAGCAAGCCUUUCUUUCAUACACAACUCAAACAUAUUUCCCAAACAUACAUCUUUGAUAAAAUUGAGAACUUUUUUCUGUAAAACCGUAUGGAUUACAGGACAUGAAAAUAUUUAUACAAAUUCAAAGAAAUACUAUCCACCCACCUACAUAAAUGGUGUCAAAGAAGAACACAGAAGAAUUGAAAACCAACAUUUAAUCUCUGUUCUCUCAAUAUUCAAAAUCCAAGGUGACUGGGUAGAGAUCAGGGAUGGAUGAAGAAGCAGUCCAUGGCCUGUCUGGCAUGCUCUCGCUCACACCCAUGCUCUUUUCUUGGGUGUAGUAAUAAUGCUCCUUCAUCUCCUUGAGCUUUAAGUCAUCACUAGGAACACUGGGAUCAGAAACAAUGUCCUGAACAGUGGUUCUGCCUUCAAGCAUGCUCACAACUGAUGACAUAGCUGGCCUGACUGCUGGAGAGACCUUUGUGCACAGGAGAGCUAUGUUGAUCAUUGCCAUGACCUCUUCCUUGUUGAAGUCUUGAGCCCAAUCUGGGGUCAACUAGAUCCAUCAAAUUCCCCUCCCCUUUUAAUGAGAGUGCCUAGAAAUCAAGAAAGAAAAAGAGAGCUUGUGUUUAAAUCAAGCCAUAUGGACUCAGGUGGUAAGACUCUAUUUGUUUCAACAUAUGCUGAAUGAAGCCAUGGAAAUGUCACAACCACAUUGAAUGAGUUUAAUAUUUGGUAUGUGAUGAAUGGAAUGUGCCCAGCUAGCCUGCUACCCAGAAAGAGGCAUGCUAAUAUAGGGGUUUGCUCACAGUGAUCAAGGAAGGUCCCAAUGACGUCUUAUUGCUAAUACAGUAAUAUCACACAAUUUGUAUAAUUGAAGUCAUUCAGGAUGGGAGCAUAUACUACCUGCUUCUUCGUUUAAGGUUGAAAAGGAAGCAAUGCAUGUAAGUAUUAGUAGUAUUGGGGCAAUUUCGAUUUGUCUGAGAAAAUUUUUGAUCGAGAGAGUCUAUUUGAUUCAUAUAGCAUCAUGAACUAGGAAAAUGGUCCAAGGGAUGCCAUGAAUCAGAAUAUAACUUCAGCCCAAGAUAGGAAAAUGUAGUUGCCAUGAUGUGGUGACUAUAUUUUUAUAUAUAUAAUUCAAGAGCCAUGGUUAGGGAUUCAUGAUUCAGAUCCUAUUAACUUCCACAUUGAUCAGGCUGGGAAAGCAGCCAGUCCUUGGUCGGUUCUAGUUAAGUUGCUUUACUCAACAGAUCGGCAAAAACAGCAGCAUGACCCGCGACUGUUAUGUGGAACUGCCCAUUUCAAAAUGAGGUUAAAGCAUGUCUUUUGGCUAUAGGAAGUGUUAGACAGAACUAGUGUGAGGGGAUAAAUUUAUUCUCUGGGUUCUCAACAGGUUUUACAGCUUGUAGUUUGAAUGAUGAAGCCAUUCAUCCUUGACGAUGCUUCCCGACACAAAUAACAAAUCAUGCUGUUAAGAAUGAGAAAAUUCAGAGAUGACAUAUGCAAGAAAGAAUGUUGUCGAAAUUACCCAAUCAAGAAGAUAGAUGCAUUCCUCUUUUGGCCUAUAAGUAGUGUUUCUUCUUCCACUGACAAUUUCCAAGGCAACAAUUCCAAAACUGUAAACAUCUGCUUUGUCAGUUAAAUAGCCCCGAAAUGCAUAUUCAGGUGCCAUAUAUCCACAGCAAAAUGAGGGUAUGAUUUUACACAAAUUUUCCAUUUGCAUGAAGGAUAAACACUGGUGAUCAAAAGCAAAAAUUUCUAGGAUGUGGUUUCCAAAGUGAUAUCAGUAUCACUGCUUCCUAUUUGAGCUAAACGGAAAGAUAAAUAAUGAUACUGAAAUUAUCACAGCCAUAAAGAUCUGGAUUUCCUGAAUUCUGAAAGAGUAAGAAACCAUUGACAUCCAUUCAAAAGAAAGAAAAAGCCCAUUAACUAAAAAUCAGGAGACAGUGACUCACAAUGCACCAGCAUUCCCGGUGCUAAUGUGGGUGUUAUCCUCUUCAUCAAGUUUGGCCAAACCAAAGUCAGAUAUUUUGGGGUUAAGAUUCUUAUCAAGCAGCACAUUUGUGGCCUUGAUGUCUCGGUGGAUGAUCUUCAGCCUUGAUUCUUCAUGAAGAUAAGCCAACCCUCUUGCUAUGCCAACACAGAUCCUGUGUCUAGUUGGCCAAUCCAAUUGUAAUUGACAUUCUUCGGGGCCUAAAUCAUCAUAUCAACCAAAAGUUAGAUGUAAGAAGCACUCAAAUCACACAAGUUCAUAUACAUGUAGUUUUAUAGCAGAAGCAAUUGAGCAAGGCACGUAAGCAGAUGUGAAAAAAACAGACCAAACAAAGCACGAGCGAGGCUGUUAUUUUCCAUUUACUCAUAUAUCAGCAACAACUGAUUUCCUUCUAUACAACAGCCAUAGAGCUUCACAAGAUGAGGAUGUUGAAGAGCAGAAAUCAUGCCUAUCUCAUUCACAAACUCACGGUUUCCUUGUUUUGACUUGGAAGAAAGCUGCUUCACUGCAAUUAUGGUGCCAUCCGAUAAGAGGCCCUGCAUUUGAGAAAUAGUGUCUUCACUUCAGUAUAAAGUUUUAUGAUAACAAACUGCUUAAUGAACAGCUUAAAUGCAUAAAAUGAGGGAAAACUAAUUAUUGUGCUGAAUACCUUGUAAACAGAACCAAAUCCAACUUCUCCAAUUUUGUUGGCAGCAUCCAAGUUGUUUGUGGCAGCCUUAAUUUGCCUUAAGGUAAACAAACCAGUUUGCUGAUCUAGACCCUUUAAAUCUGUAGAAGAAGCCAAGUUAGAUAAGAAAUAUAUCUAAAAAAAAGUUGCAAUUAUUUCUACAUUCCUAAUAGUUUUAGAAGGAUUUUGAUGGAUUAUAACUGUAUCUUCUACAUCCAGAGAAAUCAACCCUGAUCAGAUACCAUGUUUCAGCAUGAAUGCCAGCAACCCAAUCCACUGCUACGACAUCAACAAUGAAAUGUUUUGAUAUACAACAUUUUUCAUAAUCAAUACCUUGUUCCAAUGUAUCUUUGCGCCUUAGGCAGCCUCUCCACCAAAGGAUACCGAUAACCAGGAAGACAAGAAGAAUGACUCCAGCCACAAUGCCAACCACAACGCUCACAGAUAUACUAGUACUGCCAUUUCUGGAAGGAGGUAUAAAAUCUGCAAUAAGAAAACAGGGUUAGAACAGAUACGCAGAUGGAAUGGAAGCUUUUAGGCAAAUGAUGGCACAAAGAAAAACAAAAUCCAACCAUUAGUAAUGCUGCAAAAAGAGACUAAUCACAAAAAAUAUUUUAUCAACAUUAUUCUUCAGAGUCAAAGUCAAAUAAACAUGAAAAGAUGCUCAAACUGUUGGCAAAUUUCAGAAGAGCAACACAUAAAGAGCGAUGAAAUUUUCAAUGAUAUAGGUAGCAUCAAAGAAGAAUCAUUUGAGAUUCCAUAUAUAUUAAAACAGACCUGUGCCAAACCCUUCAAAAAAUAAUGAAUCAUGUCCAUGUUGUUUCCAAGUGCCCUAAAGAAAAGAGGAGUUGCGCAGACUGAACCAAGUCACUAAACUAAAAAAAUGUGUAAUUUGAGAAGUAGAAGAACAAUACCCUUUUGCAUACCAACUAUUCAAAAUUGUUGAACUACCAAUUUUCUAAAUGUUUAAGCUUAAGCUCCCUCAUGUGUGGUCCCAUGCCACAGGUGGAGGAACAAACAAAAUCUGGAUUCAUAUCCCAAUAGACAAAGAUAGACAAAAUUUGGAUUCAAACAAACAAAGGAAAUGCAAUCUGAUACUCUAAUUAUUAAAAAGCUACUAAAAAAACAUAGACAACAAUAAUGAAUAAAAAGUAAAAGUAGUUCGGAGUUAUUACCAUUUAAUGAUAUUUAUAUAAGUAAUAAUUUGAGUUUAAUAAAUAUUAUUUUUACGUUAGAAUAUAUGAAAUUCGAAUGAUUUUUUUAGAGGGUUUUUUUAUUAUUAUUAUUAUUUAAAAGUGUGGACUAAACAUGCUAUUUCCAUAAAAUAUAAAUCGGUUUUCUUUGAAAAGGAUUUAUUCUUUCAAAGUGAAAAUUAGUUUGCAUUUUGUGAGAAAUAUUCCUUGAAAAUGCCUAUAAAUCUAUUCACUCCACACUGAACCAAGUAUUGCACGCACCACGAGGAACCAAUACACAAAUCAGAGAGAAGAGCAGAAAACCAAUAAGAACAAAACCAUACCAACACACAAAUCAUAGAGAGGAGGAACCAAUACACAACUCAUAGAGAGAGAGAGAGAGAGGAUUUACCUCUGCAAAGCACAGCCCUGGGGCUGCCAUCUGAACUUGAGAUACAAAUCAUCCAUACGCCCAUUCCUCUGGCAAUUGAACUCCCUCUCUAUGAAUGGGCAUUCCUCCGCCUUGUACAGAGGAUAUGUCUCAUCCCUAACCCAUAUCCCUUGAAAAAAAUCACACUUCUCCCCACUCCCAACCGCAUUUCCAAUACAGACAACAACAACAAAAAUGAACAAAACACCCUGAACCCAUGAACCCAUUUCUCAAUCUCAAGCUCCCCAAGAGAGAGAAACAGAGAUGGGUUUUGUGUGGAAUUCUACUCUAGUAAAGACCCAUUGCCCAUUUCCCAUGUCUCAAGAUUUCUAUUUAAUAUAUAGACAAAAGAAGGAGGAUGUAGAAAGAGAGUAAUGUUUCAAUGUGGGUAAAUGAGGAAGUGAUUUGUCUCUGUUUUUUAAAAGAGGAAAGGAGAACUUUGGGUGUGUUGUCAUGUAUGGUCACUAUGGUGUGAUAAUAUCUUAAUAUGUACAGGAGAUGCCCUGGAUAAUAAGGUGUCAUGUGGACUUUUGACCAAAACUCAGCCAAUGAGAGACCCUUGGUUGGUUUGGUUUUCUCCAUGGGAUAACUACUUUUUCUUUCUUUUUUCAUUUUUUGGAUUUCUUAAAUUUUUGAAUUCAUGUAACUAUGAGUCCUUCGAUAGUGUCAAAUUGAUACCUACCAAAAAUUAAACCAAUCUCAAUAUACCACUUUUAUAAUUUUAUCUCAUUAUUUUGUAAUUCACUUACAUUUCGUUUAUUUGUAAUCAGUCUCAUACUCAUUUGCUCCAUUAAUGGCUUCUAGGUCCAUGCUUGUCUUCUUCUUCUUGCUCAACCACCAAUCUUAUGUCAUCUUUCUUCCUUUAACUAUGUUAUUUAUUUUUAUUUAUUUUAUUGAAUUUGAAUUAAAGUGGGGAAGAAGAAGGGAUAACUUUUUUUUUUAAUUUCACAUACUGUGGACCCCGCAUUUCGGCUCAUGCGUUUUCCACUUGAUGGCGAGCUCAAUUUUAAUUUGAAAAAUUGAUCUUUUAUUGAUUAAGAAAAAUUGACUCGGAGUCGCCACUUAUUUUUGUUUUAUUUUUAAAGGGUAAACAAAAUAAGAAAGAAAAACUCUAAGUGUGACUCCUUGUUUUAGAAAAGGUGGUCUGCAAAAAAAUCGGAUCGGGUUCGGGGGUCAGGUUACUUAUCGGGAAGGUACGGUAAAAACCGUAGCACCCCUCUAAGUCCCUAAAGUCGGGUCUCUACUAAUAGAAUGAAACUAACGUGGCAAUCGAAUAAGAAAGUCAAUGGAUACUCACAUUAAUUAUGCAUAUAUGAGAAUCAGAAUAUGUAUAGUGAAUGAUCAGAAUGAGUGAAUGCGUACUUGGACUGCAAACAACAACGCGCUAUCAUGGAAUGAGGUUAGUGAAUAAACGCAAAAUGAUUAUAUGUAUAUCAAGGAACAGAAUAAAUCGAUCACACAUGACAAAUGAAUCGAUCAAUCAGUCAAUCAAUCAUGAAAUCUCAUAUGUGGGGCCCCCACCAAAGCCCAUUCUAUUUUGCACGAAUUAGUUUCACAAAUUCCAUUAUUCUGAAAUUAUGAAAAUAGCAUUCAUGCUUAUAUAAAAUCAAGAGAAAUCGAAGAUUAUUUGAAACCCGAAGAGAAUUAAAACUGUUAGAGAGAAAAUUGGAUUUUUGAGAUUUAUUUGAAAAUUGGAGUAUUGGGAAUUAAAUUUAAGACUUGGAAUUUUAGGAUGUCAAACUUGAAAGAAAUUAGAAUUUUAGAAAUCGGAAAUUAAGUUCGGAAAUUGGGAUUCAAAAAAAAUGUUUAAAAAUGAAAUUUUGAAAUAAAUAAAUGGAAUAAUAAUAAUAAGGACGAAAAUAAUGAUUAAAUAAAUGAAUGGGAAUAUGGGAAUUUUCGGGUUUAGGAAUUUAAUUCGGAAAUCAGCGGUUUUAAAGAAUUUGAUUUAAAAUGGAGUUUUGAAAUAAAUAAAUAAAUAAAAUACUAAUGAUCAAAUAAUUUAGUGGGAAUAGGGAUUAGGAAUUUAACUCGGUAAUAAGAAGUUUUAAAGGAUUGAUUUAAAUUGAAUUUUUAAAAUAAAUAACUAAAAUACUAAUGAUUAAAUAAAUUAAUGGGAAUACGGGAAUUUUCGGGAUUAGGAAUUUAACUCGGAAAUCAGAAGUUUUAAAGAAUUGAUUUAAAUUGGAGUUUUAAAAUAAAUAAAUAAAAUAUUGAUGAUUAAAUAAAUUAAUGGGAAUACGUGAAUUUUCGAGAUUAAGAAUUUAGAAAUUAAAAUCGGAAGUCGGAAAUUUUAAUGAAUUGUUUAAAAUGGAAUUUUAGAAUAAAUAAAUAAGAUAAUAAUAAUUAAAUAAAUUAAUGUGAAUAUUGGAAUUUUUGGAAUUUAGAAAUUAAAAUCGGAAGUGGGAAAUUUUAAAGAAUUGUUUAAAAUAGAAUUUUAAAAUAAAUAAAAUAAAUAUUAGUGAUUAAAUAAAUUAAUGUGAGUAUGAAAAUUUUUAGGAAUUGAAUUUUAAAGAUCGGAAUUUUGAAGUAUUAUUUAAAGGUUGAAUUUUAAAAUAAACAAAUAAAUAAAUCAAUAAAUAAUGAUUAAAUAAAUUGGUGUGAAAAUUAAAUUUUCAAAAAUUGGAAUUAAAAUUUAUUGAGGAAUUAAUGUUUUUAGGAAGAUAAAUCAUGCAAAUUGAAAACAAAAGGGCUAAUUUGAGGUGGAUAUGGGCUUGGAAUGGGCAUGGACUAACUUAAGGUGGGUGAACAAAACAACUUGAAGUGAGCAUGGGCUUGGAAUGAGCGUGGGCCAGCUUAAAAUGAGAGAACAAAACAAACUUGAAGUGAGCAUGGGCUUGGAAUGGACAUGGGCCAACUUAAAAUGAGAGAACAAAACAAAGGGCCUUUCAUCAACACAUACGGGCCUGGGCUCCAACUUAAGCCCACAUCUCCAACUGGGCCAACUUAAGAUGGGUGAGCAAAACAACUUGGAGCUUUUUAUCUUCAUAUACGGGCUGGGCUCCAACUUAAGCCCACAUCUCCAACUGGGCCAAUUUAAGAUGGGUGAGAAAAUCAACUUGGAGCUUUUUAUCUUCACCUACGGGUUGGACUCCAACUUAAGCCCACAACCUUGAAGGCAUAGCCUUUGCUUCUCUUCAAUAUAAGGCCGUGUUUGGGUGAUGAGCGGGUGGAUGAUGAGUAGGGGGAAACUUAGAGAGAGGAAAGCGGGUAGAUAGUGGAGGUUAGUGAGGAGUUGGUAUGCAUGAAGAGCAUGUGGUGUAGAGAGAGGAAAGGUGGUGGGAUGAAGUGGGUAUGCAUGGGAUGAAUGAAGUAUGGUGGGCAUGAGCAUGAAAGAUGAGAGGAUGAGGGCUUGAAAGUGGGUACAUGUUGUGCCAGCAGAAGCUUUGAUGCCAACAAUGUUAGUUCAAGAACACAAAGAUAAUACAAUCACACAUACGGUACACGAGGUUUUAACGUGGUUCGGCCAACCAUACCUACGUACACGGAUGAGAGAGAAUAAUUCCACUAUACAAUAGAGAAUAUUACAGAGGAUAGAACCAGAUACAACUAUUGGGUUCCCGAAACAUCCCAUGUUUCCCCACUCCUUGUAUCCAUACCUUACUACGAGCCCUCUCGCUCCACCAGGUACCUCCCGUUCUUCCUCACAUCUCUAUCCACCUCGUAUAGUCUCUAUAGGCCCAUCUCUAUCUCAUAACUUUUUCCCCUUAUGACCUAGAAUAUUUAUAGAGAUAUUUCCAACAACCUUCCUUAUUCUAUAAGGAAGUCUAAUAUUACAAUAAUAUAUCAACCUAGAAAUAUUCUAUAUAAUAUUCUUUACAAAAAGGAAUCUAUACUAAUUAGGAAUUUGGGACACUUCCUAACAGUACAUACAUGGAACCUUAGGCACGUAGGAAUCAAGCAAAAAACGAAAAAUGGAUAAGUGGGUAUAAGGGGUGGUGGUGAUAUGCAUUGAGUGGUGGAAUUAAAGAAAAUGGGUACCCGGUGUAGCUUAGGGGGAGAAAGGUGGUAGGGAAAGAAUAUGAAGGUAUAGAGAGAGAAGUGGGUAGGGAGGUUAGGUGGUUCUGUUUGCAUGGUUCCCAUGCAUGUGAGUGGAUGAUUUGGAAAAGCUUUUGACAGCCACGUAUGGUGCAAGAGAUGGGCUAUGGGUUGGUAGGUGUGGUCAUGGGUAUGGUGGUGGUGUAGAGAGGGAAACUAUAGUAAUGAGAUGGAAAUAUGAGAAAAUGGAUAUGAAGAGGUAGGCAUGCAGAGAUGGGAAAUGGGUAUGAAAGAAAGGUAUGGGUUAUGGAGAGAGAAAAGGUGGUGAAUCAUGAAAUGGGUUUUAUGAGUGUAUGGGAUGAGAAAAUGGGUGUAUAUAGUUGCUGCAUCAUCCUCAUCCUGAAGCAAUAGAUCCAACUCAAGCCACAGUGACUCACACCAUACAGUGAAGUCAUCCUCAAUGCAUUGAUCAUCAUCCCCAAGACCCACUGAGAUAAUGCGCUUUUCACCCUCAGAGACUGCUGAAAUGUUUGUCUCAGAAUCAACAACUGGAUAAUCAUCAUGUUGUUCCCAUGCAUCCAUCACAACAUUCAAGUCCAUCUAAUAGCCAUUGCCCAAAAGCAGAACGUGAAACAUUGGGAGAUCACAACAUUACAAGUCCAUUGGUGAGAAUGUAUUAUCUAUGACUCCUUGCCCCCAUGAACAGAGAUGAGAAAAUAAUAUGCUCCAGAAACAGAUACGGGAACAGGGGAAGAUGGAGAAACAGAGCACAAAAGAAAAUAGAUAAAUAAAGUAAAACUCAGAGACUUUACUUCAUGGGUUUUUAGUAAGUCCCCUGUUUAGGUGAGAAAAACCAUCCCAAAUGCAACUACGGGCAUCAUCAUAAUAUAAGCAAAACAUACCUAAAUCAACAAUGGCAAAUAGGAAUGCAAGACUUCACCUCAACAAGCUACUAGUGGCCUUUAAUAUCCACCCCAAACAACAUGAUGCUUAGAAGCAUAAUAACAAUCUAAAGAAAAACAAUGAAUCACAAAGAAUGAGAGGAAAACAGUAUACAUACCUGGACUCCUUAAACCAAAAGAACCGAGCUUCGACCCUCUCAAUGAAUUUUUCUCCCUCUUUGUAACCGCUGGCCUCUCCAGAAAGUUCAAACCUCUCGCUUGUUUUUCUCCAAAAAGUCCUCCAGAUAUCUCCUCCUUCUUUCUUUUCUUCUUUUCCUGUUCUGAGUCUUCCUCCGCAAGCCAUGUCCGUAUCCCCAUCCCAUCUAGCCACCCGAGAGCAGCCCACUUCAGAGGAGUCAGAAAAACAGCAAAAAAAUAAUCAUAAAAAAAACUCUCAGCUCCUGGGGGGGCUACACAUACCUAUUUUAUUAAAAUUUUAAAAAGAAAAUUGUAAAAACUUAAAGAUUUGUCCAAAUGGAAUUUACUCAUUUGAUUCUCUUUUUAAGCCUUAUCAAAACAAUGAGAAUGAGAGAGAGAGAGAGAGUAUUUUUUAUUUUUUAUCUACUCGAAAAUGAUUUGUCAUAUAUUAUUAGAUGGUACAAAUUGAAUAAAAAAAAGAUAAGUACAAUUUGUCUUAAUUGAAUAGAUGGAAUGGAUAAACGAUUUUUUUUUUAUUAUUAUUAUUAAUUAACCAUGAUUCUGCCAUGAUUGGUAGUUUGUCUAUUCUUUUCAUAUAAAGUGUAAAUAAGUUUCAAUUUAUCUAAAAUUUAAAUAAAAAUUGAUGUAAAAUAGUAAAAUAUCAUCUAAAUCUUAAAUUUCAAAUUUCAAAAAAAAGUUAAAACCUUGUCAGAUUAUUAAUUUGGAUUGCCUCCUGUUUUAAAUAUAUAAAAACCUUGUUUGAUGGUCAUGAGCGUAAUCAUGCCCCAAAAUGGUUUUAGAGUUAUAUUAUGAAUAUAUUUGGGAAUGAUUUUAGAAAGUGUUUUUAACAUUUUUAACACUUAAAUGAUAAAAAAAUUUAAGUAUUAAAAAUAUCAAAAUUGCUUCCUAAAAUCACUAUCAAACAGUCUUUAAAACACCAUUAUUGUUUUCAUCAUUUUUUCAAUUUUGUUUUCCAAAACUUGUAUACAUAUUUUUAAUAAAUCCAAUUAGAUAAAAGCAUAUGUUUUCAAAUAUUUACAUUGUUUUCAUUAUUUUUACAUUCAAAUACAAGUUUUGAAAGUCGUUCUUUUGGUCUAAUUAAUUGUUCAUGCAUAGCAAGACUAAGUUCCUGUUUGGAUUUGCUUCCAACUAACCCAAUCAGGUUGAACAUUCAAGAGGAAGAAUGAAUUGGGUAUCAGUCAAUUUUUCUACUAGACUAGAUAAUUGAUAAAAUUAAAGAUUAAAAUAAAUGUCACAACAAUUGGAAUAAAAUACAAGUAAAAAAGAAAUAUUCACUCGCUCUAACUUCUUUCUGAGCUUAAAAUAUAUCCAUUAAUCCAAAAAUCCCUUUGACCAACAAUCUUUGAUGAAUGAACACAAAAGCUUCAUAGUUUGAUGAAGAAGCCUUUCUUUCAAACACAACUUAAACAUAAUUCCCAAACAUACAUUUUUUAUCAAAUUGAAAACUUUUGUCUGUAAAACCUAUGGAUUACAGGACAUGAAAAUAUUUAUACAAAUUCAAAGAAAUGCUAUGCACCCGCCUUCAUAAAUGGUGUCAAAGAAGAACACAAAGAAGAAUUGAAAGCCAACAUUUAAUCUCUCUUCUCCCAAUAUUCAGAAUCCAAGUUGACUGGGUAGAGAUCAGGGAUGGAUGAAGAAGCAGUCCAUGGCCCAUCUGGCAUGCUCUGAGCCUUGCUCUCGCUCACGCCCAUGCUCUUUUCUUGGAUGUGGCGAUAAUGCUCCUUCAUCUCCUCGAGCUUUAAGUCAUCACUAGGAGCACUGGGAUCAGAAACGAUGUCCUGAACAGCAGUUCUGCCUUCAAGCAUGCUCACAACUGAUGACAUAGCUGGCCUGACUGCUGAAGAGAUGGUCGUGCACAGGAGAGCUAUGUUGAGCAUUGCCAUGACCUCUUCCUUGUUGAAGUCUGAGCCCAAUCUGGGGUCAACUAUAUCCAUUAAGCUCCCCUUCUCUUUUAAAGAGAGUGCCUAGAAGUUGAGAAAGAAAGAAAAUCCAAUAAGAGAAUUGCUCCUGUUUAACUCAAGCAAUAGGGACUCAGGCUGCAAGACUAUUUGUUUCAACAUAUGCUGAAUGAAGCCAUGGAAAUGCCACAACCACAUUGAAUGAGAUCAAAAUUUGAUAUGUAUGAAUGGAAUAUGCCCAGCUAGCCUGCUACCCAGAAAGAGGCAUGCUAAUAUAGGAGUUUCCUCAGAGUGGUCCAGGCAGGUCCUGGAUGACGUCUUAUUACUAAUACGGUAAUACCACACAAUAUAAUUGAAGUCAUUCAGGAAGAAAGCAUAUACUACCUGCUUCUUCAUUUAAGGUUGAAAAGGUAGCAAUACAUGUAAGUAUUAGUAGUAUUGGGGCAAUUUCGGUUUGUCUGAGCAAAUUUUUGUUCAAGAGAGCCUAUUUGAUCCGUAUAGAGUCAUGAACUAGGAAAAUGGUCCAAAGGAUGUCAUGAAUCAGAAUAUAACUUCGGCCCAAGAUAGGAAAAUGUAGUUGCCAUUAUGUGAUGACUAUAUAUUUAUAUAUAUAUAUAUAUAUAUAAUUCAAGAGCCAUGGUUAGGGGUUCAUGAUUUGGAUCCUAUUCACUUCCACUUUGAUCAGGCUGGGAAAGCAGCUAGUCCUUGGUCAGUUCUAGUUAAGUUGCUUCACUCAGCAGAUCUGCUAAAACAGCAGCAUGACCUGCUACUGUUAUGUGGAACUGCCCAUUUCAAAACGAGGUUAAACCAUGUCUUUUGGCUGUAGGAAGUGUUAGACAGAACCAGUGUGAGGGGAUAAAUUUAUACUCUGGGUUCUCAACAGUUUUUACAGCUUCUAGUUUGAACGAUGAAGCCAUCCAUCCUUGAAGAUGCUUCCCGACACAAAUAAAAAACCAUGCUGUUAAAAUUAUGCAAUCAGCCUAAAUGGAUAAGAAUGAGAAAAUUCAGAGACGACAAAUGCAAGAAAGAAUGUUGUCAAAAUUACCCGAUCAAGAAGAUAGAUGGAUUCUUCUUUUGGCCUAUAAGUAGUGUUGCUUCUUCCACUGACAAUUUCCAAGGCAACAACUCCAAAACUGUAAACAUCUGCUUUGUCGGUUAAAUAGCCCCGCAUUGCAUAUUCAGGUGCCAUAUAUCCACUGCAAAAUGAGAGUAUGAUUUUACACAAAUUUUCCUUUUCAAAUGAAGGAUAAACACUGGUGAUCAAAAGCAAAAAAUUCUAGUAUGUGGUUUCCAAAGUGAUAAUAGUGUCAAUGCUUCCUAUUUGAGCUAAACAGAAAGAUAAAUAAUGAUACCGAAAUUAUCACAGCCAUAAAAAUCUGGGUUACCUGAAUUCUGAAGCAGUAAAAAACCAUUGACAUCCAUUCAAAAGAAAGGAAAAGCCCAUUAACUAAAAAUCAGGAGAUAGUGACUCACAAUGUACCAGCAAUCCGCGUGCUAAUGUGGGUGUUAUACUCUUCAUCAAGUUUGGCCAAACCAAAGUCAGAUAUUUUGGGGUUAAGAUCCUUAUCAAGAAGCACAUUUGUGGCCUUGAUGUCUCGGUGGACGAUCUUCAGCCUUGAUUCUUCAUGAAGAUAAGCCAACCCUCUUGCUAUGCCAACACAGAUCCUGUGUCUAGUUGGCCAAUCCAAUUGUAAUUGACAUUCUUCAGGGCCUAAAUCAUCAUAUCAACCAAAAGUUAGAUGUAAGAAGCACAAUCACACAAGUUCAUAUACAUGUAGUUUUAUAGCAGAAGCAAUUGAGUAAAACAUGUAAGCAGAUGUGACAAAUACAGACCAAACAAAGCACGAGCGAGGCUGUUAUUUUCCAUGUACUCGUAUAUCAGCAACAACUGAUUUCCUUCUAUACAACAGCCAUAGAGCUUCACAAGAUGAGGAUGUUGAAGAGCAGAAAUCAUGCCUAUCUCAGUCACAAACUCACGGUUUCCUUGUUUUGAUUUGGAAGAAAGCUGCUUCACUGCAAUUAUGGUGCCAUCGGAUAAGACACCCUGCAUUUUGAGAAAUAAUGUCUUCUCUUCAGUAUAAAGUUUUAUGAGAACAAACUGCUUACUGAACAGCUUAAAUGCAUAAAAUGAGGGAAAACUAAUUAUUGUGCUGAAUACCUUGUAAACAGAACCAAAUCCACCUUCUCCAAUUUUGUUGGCAGCAUCAAAGUUGUUUGUGGCAGCCUUAAUUUGCCUUAAGGUAAACAAACCAGUCUGCAGAUCAAGACCCUUUAACUCUGUAGAAGAAGCCAAGUUAGAUAAGAAAUAUAUCUAAUAAAAAGUUGCAAUUAUUUCUACAUUCCUAAUAGUUUGAGAAGGAUUUUGAUGGAUUAUAACUGUAUCCUCCACAUCCAGAGAAAUCAACCCUGAUUAGAUACCAUGUUUUGGCAUGAAUGCCAGCAAACCAAUCCACUGCUACGACAUCAACAAUCAAAUGUUUUGAUAGACAAAAAUUUUCAUAAUCAAUACCUUGUUCCAACGUAUCUUUGCGCCUUAGGCAGACUCUCCACCAAAGGAUACCUAUAACCAGGAAGACAAGAAGAAUGACUCCAGCCACAAUGCCAACCACAACGCCAACCACAAUGCCAACAGAUAUGCUACUGCUUCUAUUUUCAGUAGGAGGUAUAAAAUCUGCAAGAAGAAAACAAAGUUAGGACAGAUACGCAGAUGGAAUGGAUGCUUUUGGGCAAAUGAUGGCACAAAGACAAACAAAAUCCAACCAUUAGUGAUGCUGCAAAAAGAGACUAAUAACAAAAAAUAUUUUAUCAACAUUAAUUCUUCAGAGAGUCAAAGUUAAAUAAACAUGAAAAGAUGCUCUAACUGUUGGAAACUUUCAGAAGACCACCACAUACAGAGCGAUGAAAUUUCCUGCGAUAGAGGUAGCAUCCAAAUAUAUAUAUAUAUAUAUCAUAACAUACUUGUACUAAACCCUUCAAAAAAUAAUGAAUCAUGUCCAUGUUGGUUCCAAGUGCCCUAAAGAAAAGAGGAGUUGUGCAGACUAAACCAAAUCACUUAACUACAAUAAAUGUGUAAUUUGAGAAAAAGUAGAAGAACAAACCCUUUUACAUCCCAACUAUUCAAAAUUGUUGAACUACUAAUUUUCCUAAAAGCUUAACCUUACCCUCCUUUACUACCCGCAUGUGGAGAGAAAUAGAAUUUGGAUUCAUAUCCAAUGGACAAAGAUAGAGAAAAUUUGGAUUUUUAUUCAACAAACAAAUAAAGGAAAUGCAAAUUGCGGAGAGAAGGAUCAAACCUAGGACCUCCCCCCAAACCAAGCUUUGAAAUCACGUUCAACUACCAAUUUUCCUGAAAGCUUAAGCUUGCAGGAUUUGGGCUCAAUAUGCAUAUCAUGCAUUUUAAUAAUGAUAAAGAAAAUUCAUAAAACAAGCUCAGAAAAUGUGUGACAUACCAGGGUCCACAGAAAUAGCUGAUAUAAGAGGACCGUAAACUCCUCUAACUGGGAUACCUGUAGUCCCUUUCCCAGCCCAAUAGAAGCGAAUUUCCAAGGUAUUAUUAGUCACAAUUGCAGUAAAAAAUUUUAAGAUUUCCUUGCUAACACCCCCUGCUUCAUCCUCAAUAUUGAAAUCCUUGAGAACUAG